CUAUUGUCAGCGUUUUAUGAUUUCCUCUGCAGAAACAUUUGAUUUGUUCCGGGAAAUCACAUGCAGAUACAGUGCUUCCCUUCACAGCAACCAGAUACAUGUUUUGAAUUGACACAGGCAGUUUAUCCACAUUCCUGGACUGCUAAGCACUACUUUCAGCAACUCUGAGGACUAGAACUCAUUCCCUGGGAAAUUUUCUUUCCUGAUGAAUCUUCAAGAUUUACCAGCAGGACUGCAGAUCUGACAUAAAACAACCCGUCUUUUGCAGUGGUGUGAAUUCUCUGGAACCUUCACUGAAGCCUGUAUGUUGCAUGAUGCUUCCUCGGAGAUCACAGUACCGUAGAAAGAUGGACUGGUAUUUUUUGGAUGGGAGGCCUUCUGGUUACAGCCACAAAGGAGGAAACUGUCCCGUUUGACUUUGUGUUCAGAAGUGCACAACUUCUAGCCUUAGUAGGACUUGGAGCUUGGCGCUGCUGAAAAGCAAGGCAUGUAUUUACCAGCCUGUCUUCCUGCAUGUAUAUCCUUUCUCUGAUCUAGUUCACUUCUCCAUACUCCAAUGCUGCGUUGGUUGGAAUAGGAGCUGCAGAGGACCCUGAAGUUCAUUGUGCUGGAGAAGACUCCUCAUAGAGCUGGAGUUGUUUUGUCUUCUGUGUUUGGAUCCGAAGCCAGUCUUGUUCUCACUUGGCACCAAAUAGACACAGAUGAUGAGACUGUAACAUAUAACACACAGAAGAAUUUAUUCUAGCUCUCUUCAACAGAUUCUGACUUCUGCAACCUACAACAAUCCCAGCGUGCAGAGUAAACAAGGUGACUCAUUCUCUUCUGGUAAAUAGCUGCCUCCCAAGGUUUUGCUGCUGACAGGACUUUUUGUUUUUUUAACUGCACCCAAAGAACAGAGGGAUGUGAGCUAUGAACCACAUAGAAUGGGAAGAGUUCUCCUGGUGGCAGAAAUGCAGGAUAUACAUUAUUCAUCUGGCAGAGCUGUCAGGGACUGCAAGUUUGCUGCAAGACCUUUGGAAUUUCACAACAGCAAAAGAAAAGUAAGAGAAAACCAAGAGAAGGGAGAAAAAGCACAAAAGGAGGGAAAGAAUGAGAGGAUAUUGCUGGGGAGGUUCUGCUUGUUGGUGGGAAAUUUAGAAGCUCUUCCUGGACCACUUUGGCCAUCUCUACACUUACUGAGGACAUAAUAUAUUUAAUUGAUGUACCAAAGGUGGAGAAGAGCUGGUGUAAAUCAUAGAAUCAUAGAAUGAUUGAGUUUGGAAAAGACCACUGAGAUCGUCAGGUCCAACCACGGCCCACCACCCUGCCCACUAACCAUAUCCCUAAGAUGUAGCAUUGCAGAUGGGACAGGUGGAACCUGCAUCCUCAGCAGCAGCCCUUGCUGUAUCUGACCAUGGAGUUUGCAUGAGCUUGGUAACAGCUCCAUGAAAGAAAAAUCCCUGUGUGCGUCCAUGCUGAGCAUGUUCCAUGUAGGUUUCUCCUGCUGGGAGAAGGAGCUGGGGCUGGAUCACAAGGAGGACAGAAGGGGUUGUCAGGGAUGUUCAGAACAGGAGGGAAAGAUAUUAGGCACUGAGAGGUGGCACUUGGUCGGUCAGCCAGGUGAGGGCAUACAACCAGCAGCCAUCUGCAGCCUGAUGAUGAAUGCACGUGGGCCAACAGUUGUGCAUUCAUUGUUCAUCUUGCUUGUAAUGGAUGCACUUUUUGUAAGAGGGAAAAAUCUAUAAAACACUGCUGUUCAGCACAGAUGGUCACUGUCACUGCCUCACUGCCCCGAGAAGAUUCAUAAACCUGCACUUCAAAAAGAUUUUUCCAGUGACACUGUAAAGGCUCAGAAUCAGAGGUAAGGCCACAGUGCUGCCCUGCAAGAUCAUUUUGUGUCUAUCAAAGCGACACCCAAGCCAGGCUAUGAAGCCUGUGUUAGUCCUCAGGGCAUUUUCUUUGCCAUGUUCCUAUCCAAGGAACCUGCAGCCCUGGUGGAGGGUUGCACUCCAUGUAAUAACCAAAUGAGUGCUUCGUUUGGCUUCCAAGAACUUGGAAUAUGCUGUGUCAGUGAGGGAUCCCUUGGGGAUCCUUUCCCAUAGUUUCUUGUUGGUUUGUGAAUUGAUUUUGGGGUUUUGGGAUCACAUAUAGGAAACACAGCUGUAGCUUACAGCCCCAUCAACAGGGUCAGCUUCCCUGGCUGGAGGAUAGGAGGCAGCAGGGAGGGCACCCAUGCACAGAGCUGUGCUGUAUGUGCAGUCCCCACAGCCAGAGGCACAUUGUAAGCUUUGGGUCCUACCAUGAACCACCAGAUACAACUUCCUCUGGAGUCAGUGGGAAUUAGCCAGCACGAGGAGCACAAUGUGAUGGAAACAGGAGACACUGCGAGUUCACAGGGGACUUGAAUUAAAAGUUUGUUAGGACAUAGUCUAUAUUAGUUAACUACAUUCAGAUAAUCAUUUUCCAGGCAUUCAAGGCCAGGUUGGAUGGGGCCCUGGGCAGCCUCAUCUGGUACCAGAUCUGGCGGUUGGUGGCC